UUGACCUCGAUCAGGUA
rnacentral:rRNA from 2 species